rnacentral:misc_RNA from 1 species
GAUGAGAACGCAGCGAAAUGCGAUAAGUAAUGUGAAUUGCAGAAUUCAGUGAAUCAUCGAAUCUUUGAACGCACAUUGCGCCCGCCAGUAUUCUGGCGGGCAUGCCUGUCCGAGCGUCAUUUCAACCCUCGGGCCCCCCUCUGCGGGCGGCCCGGCGUUGGGGCUCAGGCGCCGUCUCUGCUCGGCGCCUGUCCCCUAAAUGCAGUGGCGGCCUCGCCGCUGCCUCCUCCGCGUAGUAGCACAAACCUCGCGGCUGGAAGGCGGCGCGGCCACGCCGUAAAACCCCCCAACUUUACCAAGGUUGACCUCGGAUCAGGUAGGAAUACCCGCUGAACUUAAGCAUAUCAAUAAGCGGAGGA